rnacentral:rRNA from 1 species
UACGUAGGUGGCAAGCGUUGUCCGGAUUUAUUGGGCUUAAAGGGUGCGUAGGCGGCUCUAUAAGUCAGUGCUGAAAUAUCCCGGCUUAACCGGGAGGGUGGCAUUGAUACUGUAGGGCUUGAGUGUAGUCGAGGUAGGCGGAAUUGACGGUGUAGCGGUGAAAUGCUUAGAUAUCGUCAAGAACACCGAUAGUGUAGACAGCUUUCUAGGCUACAACUGACGCUGAGGCACGAAAGUGUGGGGAUCAAACAGG